GCCACCUGGGAGGCUGAGAUGAGAGGAGUGCUUAUGCCCUGGAGGUCAACGCUGCAGUGAGCUGUGAUUGCACCACUGCACUCCACCUGACAGAGUGACACCCCCCCAUCUCUAAAAAAUAAAAAAAAAAAAGUGGGAAGAACAAUCACACCACGGUUUAACUGAUCAGCUACGAUGGGAACUGUGAAAGGCAUUCCACAGAGUGAAUCAAGGCUUCAGGAGGAGGCCCUGACUUAUCCUGGAGGCAGAGGGUUCUCCCAGGAAUGGCGUCUUAGCUGAAGCCUGACCCAGAAGGUAGACGGGCAGGAACGAGGUAAUGUGGAGACUGUUGGGAGCAGGCAAGGACUUCAUCCCAAGGCAAUGGGAGGCCCUCUGUACUCCCUCUUGUGAUAACUGCUUCCCUUCUUUCGGGCAGUGCUCCUGACCCCACUCUAGCUGUGUGGGUGGGUCCCUACCUGGUUGAGUCAACCAGAUCCCAUCCCUGGGAUUUUAAACUUGGAACCAGAAGGAGAGUGAUCAUCACCUCUUUUCUAGGGUGAAUCAAUGAGAAGUGAGGCUCCGAAGCUUGGAUCUCAAGUUCACAGAAGCAGCUGGUUGAGGGUGAAGCUUGCACACAGAGGCCAAGGAAGGAUGCCUACCCAUGUCCAGCUGCCCCAGGGCCCUUUCAGGACUGCUAUUUUGAGCCCCUUCCUUCCUUAACUGGUUUGAAUUGGUCACCGUCACUUGCAACCUAUUGAGUCCUAGCUAAUGUACCAUGACAGGGUUCAAGACUUGGUCAGAGAAGAGCUGGGGUAUAGGAUGCUGGGGAAGGGUACCCAUUAAUCCUCCCUUCUAAGUGGUAACUGAGAGAAUGAACAAGAACAAUAUACAGUUAAAUGAAAAUAAAAAGGCACAGUGGCUCAAGCCUAUAAUCCCAGCACUUUGGGAGGCCGAGGCAGGCAGAUCACAAGGUCAGGAGUUCGAGACCAGCCUAACCAACAUGGUGAAACCCCAUCUCUACUAAAAUUACAAGAAUUAGCCAGGCGUGAUGGCGCGCCACCUGUAAUCCCAGCUGCUCAGGAGGCUGAGCAGGAGAAUCACUUGAACCCGGGAGGCGGAAGUUGCAGUGAGCUGAGAUCAUGCCACUGCACUCCAGCCUGGGCGACAGAGCAAGACUCCGUCUUAAAAAAAAAAAAAAAGAAAAUAAACACAGACGCUUUAAGGAUCAGUUAACAACAAGACACAGACUCUAAUAUUCACUGACAUAAAGUUUCAGAAAGGGCAAAAUUAAUCUCUGGUGACAGGGGCCAGAACAGUGAUGACCUGGGGUGGGGUGUGGGUUGGUUCAGAUUUUUUCCUUUUUCUUCUUUUUUUGAGGUCAGGUCUCUGUCUCUGCCUCAUUCCUGGCUGGAGUGCAGUGGUGCUGUCAUAGGUCGUUGCAGCUUUGAACUCCUGGGCUCUAGCUAUCCUCCUGCUUCAGCCUCCCAAGUAGCUGGGGCUACAGGCACGUGCCAUGACACCUGGUUGAUUUCUAAAGAUUUUGUCGAGGCAGGGUCUCUGUUGCCCAGGCUGGUCUCGAACUCCUGGCCUCAGGCCAUCCUCCUAACUAGUUCUCCCCAAGUGCUGGGAUCACAGGUGUGAGCCACUGCACCUGGCCCUGUUCAGAUUUUCUAUUUUUCCUGGGACAAUUUUGGUCAUUUGUAUCUUUCUAGGAAUUUUUUUGUUGUUGUUUUGAGACAGAGUCUCACUCUGUCACCCAAGCUGGAGUGCAAUGGCAUGAUCUCAGCUCACUGCAACCUCUGCCUCCUGGGUUCAAGUGAUUUUCCUGCCUCAGCCUCGUGAAUAGCUGGGAUUACAGGUGUGAGCCACCACGCCUGGCUAAUUUUUGUGUUUUUAGUAGAGACAGGGUUUCACCACUUUGGCCAGGUUGGUCUCGAACUUCUGACCUCAGGUGAUCUGCCUGCCUCGGCCUCCCAAAGUGCCGCGAUUACAGGCGUGAGCCACCACACCCAGCCAAGAUGUCGCAUCUUUUUAAAUGUUGGCAUUUGCAGCUAUAAAUUUCCCUCAGAGCAGUUUUUGCCGCAUUCCUUAAGUUCUGGUAUGUUGUUUUCAUCCAUCUCUAUUUCCUAAUUUUUCUCGUGAUUUCUCCUUUGACCCUUUGGCUGUUAAAAAGUGUGUUCAAUUUCUAUGUAUGUGUGAAUUUUCAUUUUCCUUCUGGUAUGGAUUUCUGGUUUUAUUCCAUUGUGAUUGGAGAAGGUGGUUUGCAGGAUUCCGAUCUCUAAUUUACUGAGACUUGCUUUGUGCACUAACGUGUGGUCUGUCCUGGAGAACGUUCCCUGUGCACUUAGAAACGUGUGUUCUGCUGCUAUUGGGUGGAGCACUGUUAAGUCUGGUCAGCCUUUUGGUUUUUAUGUAAUACUUGGCACAUUCACAAGAAAAUGUGUGAAACAGAAAGUACGACAAAGUGAAACCCACGAAGCCACCACUGACCCUGAGGUUCAAAACCUCCAGCAUCUCUGCUCUUCCCUAAGCACAGCUCCGUCCCCUCCCCACGGGUGAGCACUGUGUUGUACUGACUCCCUGCCCUCCCUGAUGACUUUAGCACCUGGGUAUGAAUUCCACACAUAUUUGGUUUUGAGCUUUAUAAAAAUGGCAUCAUACUGUAUGAACUGUCUUGCUUUUUCAUCCCACGUUGUUUCUGAGAGGUGUUUGUGAUGGAGCACAGGGCCAC
rnacentral:lncRNA from 1 species